AGUGAACGCUGGCGGUAGGCCUAACACAUGCAAGUCGAACGGCAGCACAGUAAGAGCUUGCUCUUACGGGUGGCGAGUGGCGGACGGGUGAGGAAUACAUCGGAAUCUACUUUUUCGUGGGGGAUAACGUAGGGAAACUUACGCUAAUACCGCAUACGACCUACGGGUGAAAGCAGGGGAUCUUCGGACCUUGCGCGAUUGAAUGAGCCGAUGUCGGAUUAGCUAGUUGGCGGGGUAAAGGCCCACCAAGGCGACGAUCCGUAGCUGGUCUGAGAGGAUGAUCAGCCACACUGGAAAUGAGACACGGGCCAGACUCCUACGGGAGGCAGCAGUGGGGAAUUUUGGACAAUGGGCGAAAGCCUGAUCCAGCCAUACCGCGUGGGGGAAGAAGGCCUUUGGGUUGUAAAAGCCUUUUGUUGGGAAAGAAAAGCAGCAGGUUAAUACCCCGCUGUUCUGACGGUACCCAAAGAAUAAGCACCGGCUAACUUCGUG
rnacentral:rRNA from 1 species